ensembl:lncRNA
CCGCUUCAUUCCAGGUAAACCACGGGUUUCACCGUCGUGUCUAUCUUUCACUGCCGCCGCCCUCGUUGUCGUUCACGUUGUGCGUGCUGACUAAACCGCUAAACGCGUCUGUGUUCCUCCUCAGGAGAAAGUGCCAACCCUUGGCACUUCCAGGCUUUUCUCCUGGAGGGGUUGGUGAGAUGGAACGAGGACAGGGCGGCGUCCGCGGCACAGGAGGGUCGUCCGCUGCUCCGCACCUACAGUGGCCCCCUGCAGCACUCCCUUGACCAGCUCAGCCAACGGGUGCUUGGCUCGAGUUUGGUCAGGGACUACACCAAGCCCAGGGAGUACACGGGGGAACUCAUCGGCAUCGAGUACCUGUACUCCCAGACGGGCAGAGUGCUGCAGGACGUCAGCUUGGACCCUGACGUUCCGGACGCGGGUCCACCGCCUACCGAGGAGGACGACGAGCUCGCCGAAGGCCGGCAUGAGUUGGAGGACCUCACACUCCACGUGCCUGGCGAGUUCACCGCUCCUCGGACGGACCCGCGGUCAGGGCAACCAGCUGACGCACCCGCGCCCGAGCCAUCCCGUCCGACCGAUCCCCCCGAGCCCGCGCCCCGCUCCCCCGGCCGGUCCUCACCAGAGCCUCAGCAGACCGCUGAGGACUACCGAGGACCAGACGACCAGCCGGGGUACCUGGCCGUGGUCCGCUUGGCCACGGCCUUAGUGGGGCUGCGCCACGAACAGGCCCUGUCCGAGGGGAGGGUAGACGAGCUCAUCGGGCUCUACGAGGCCCUGUCCCCGUUCGACAGGGCCCGAGUAGUUUACCCUCCCCGCUACACGGACGGGGCAGCUCGGGGGGGUCGAUUCAUGGCAGCGGAGCCAGGCCGCACCAGUAUCCCUGGUGUGGAGAGCCUGCGACGCUGCCUGGUCGGACAGACCUCUGGACCCGCCAGCAGUCCCAGCACAAGCCGGCUGGUAGAAGCAGUGUGCGUCCAGCUCUGCAACCUGUACCCUACGGGCACCCGUGUGCAAGGCGGCGCCCGGGGGUACACGGUGGGACAGCGCACUGCUUCGUUACCGCCACAUCCGGGAGCUUGUGCUGGGACACCAGAGGUUGAUGGCUCGGGCGCCCGUUCAGCUCUUUGAGCUGAACGCUAGGACCCUCUCGCUGUGGUUUACCCGGACGCAGCGAGAGAAGGAGAGGGCUGUGCUGACUCCAGGCGUUGCAGCAGACGGAGGACGACCACCGG